rnacentral:rRNA from 1 species
CCUACGGGAGGCAGCAGUGGGGAAUAUUGCUCAAUGGGGGAAACCCUGAUGCAGCAACGCCGCGUGGAGGAUGAAGGUUUUCGGUUUGUAAAGCCCUUUUGUUAGAGAAGAAUAUGACGGUAUCUAAGGAAUAAGCACCGGCUAACUCCGUGCCAGCAGCCGCGGUAAUACGGAGGGUGCAAGCGUUACUCGGAUUCACUGGGCGUAAAGAGUGCGUAGGCGGGGUGCUAAGUCAGAUGUGAAAUGCUGUAGCUUAACUACAGAACUGCAUUUGAAACUGUUACUCUGGAGUGUGGGAGAGGUAGGCGGAAUUCUUGGUGUAGCGGUGAAAUGCGUAGAGAUCAAGAGGAAUACUCAUGGCGAAGGCGACCUGCUGGAACAUUACUGACGCUGAUGCACGAAAGCGUGGGGAGCAAACAGGAUUAGAUACCCGAGUAGUC